AACCGUCCACCACCACCACAUGUCGCCGCCGCCACUUUUCACUCCAUUCAACUAACACCUUCUCACCCUUUUCGCCUUUCCGCCCUUCCCCUCUUCACCGGCAACAACAACAAUGGUGGUGGUGGUGGUGGUUUAUGGGGUAAUAACCCUUUUGACUCAGAUGAUUUCUCUUCAUCUUCUUCAGGUUACACUCUUUUCUUUACCUUACUAUUCUCUUCCAUUACAUUUUGUUUCUGCAAUCUCGUUCUAACCAAAUUGGCUAUUUGACAGAACCUGCAUCUACUGCGGCAUCUUGUAGCGAAAACACCGAGGAGGAAAGCUCUGAAGUAAUGAUAUCAACAAAG
rnacentral:lncRNA from 1 species